rnacentral:rRNA from 1 species
GAUGAACGCUAGCGGCAGGCCUAAUACAUGCAAGUCGAACGGGAUCCAGAUCAAAGCUUGCUUUGGUCUGGUGAGAGUGGCGCACGGGUGCGUAACGCGUGAGCAACCUACCCUUGUCAGGGGGAUAGCCCGGCGAAAGUCGGAUUAAUACCGCAUGACACCAUUGAGAGGCAUCUUUCGAUGAUCAAAGAUUUAUCGGACAAGGAUGGGCUCGCGUGACAUUAGCUAGUUGGUAAGGUAACGGCUUACCAAGGCUGCGAUGUCUAGGGGCUCUGAGAGGAGAAUCCCCCACACUGGUACUGAGACACGGACCAGACUCCUACGGGAGGCAGCAGUAAGGAAUAUUGGUCAAUGGACGGAAGUCUGAACCAGCCAUGCCGCGUGCAGGAAGACGGCCCUAUGGGUUGUAAACUGCUUUUAUACGGGAACAAACGUCGGUACGUGUACCGGUCUGAGUGUACCGUAAGAAUAAGGAGCGGCUAACUCCGUG